rnacentral:rRNA from 1 species
AGCGAACGCUGGCGGCAGGCUUAACACAUGCAAGUCGAGCGGGCAUAGCAAUAUGUCAGCGGCAGACGGGUGAGUAACGCGUGGGAACGUACCUUUUGGUUCGGAACAACACAGGGAAACUUGUGCUAAUACCGGAUAAGCCCUUACGGGGAAAGAUUUAUCGCCGAAAGAUCGGCCCGCGUCUGAUUAGCUAGUUGGUGAGGUAUGGCUCACCAAGGCGACGAUCAGUAGCUGGUCUGAGAGGAUGAUCAGCCACAUUGGGACUGAGACACGGCCCAAACUCCGACGGGAGGCAGAAGUGGGGAAUAUUGGACAAUGGGCGCAAGCCUGAUCCAGCCAUGCCGCGUGAGUGAUGAAGGCCCUAGGGUUGUAAAGCUCUUUUGUGCGGGAAGAUAAUGACGGUACCGCAAGAAUAAGCCCCGGCUAACUUCGUGCCAGCCGCCGCCGUAA